ensembl:lncRNA
AUAAUAUGUGGGUGUGCGUGGAUCUGUCUGUCUGCCAGCAGUUAUGGACUUUAAGGAAACAGUUAAUAUAAUAAACCUAGUAUAAGUUUAUUAUAUUUCAGGAUUAGGCUCUGUAAGGAGCGUGGAAUCCGACGCUGCAUCGCCCACUCCGGGGGUCCGGGGAGGCUCGGCAGUAAGCGUCUGGUCGCCCGUGUCCUCACAACACGGUCCUAUGUUGUGUACCGUAAAGCUGCCGUAAGAGACCCCCGCUGUACGGUGCAUUAUGGCGCCGAGCCCCCCGAUCCUGGAUCUAUGGAUCCUCUGGUGACCCGCGGGUCCUCCGUCGGUCCGCGUCACACACGAACCGGUCUGCGGAGAUGAGGCGGAGCCGCGACGGUUCUGUUUACAUCCCGUCCGUGUGGGCCGGAAGCUAGCCAGGCUAACGUGCUAGCUUUGGAGCGAAGCUAACCAGGCUAACCUGGGGCCAGCAGUUGGCCACGGAGCAAAGCUAACCGAGCUAACUUGGUGCUAGCUGUUAGCCUCCGAGAGAAGCUAACCCAAGGCUAGCGCUCUGCCAGCUGUCAGAGGGGUCGUCAGCGCUGGUCUUUCAGCCGCAGAGCUGAAACAGCGCCGGAUGAGACCCGAGCUCCAUCUCAACCGUCUCGUACCCGCAGGGACCAGCUAGAGGGCGCCAGCCGCCAGAGGCAUGGAUCUGUCGACGGGCUUCAGCGUCAGCCCCCUGCCCCGCGGUCACACCGAGGCCAUGGACCUGGUGAAGAGACCCGAGUGGUACCGCCGCCACGCCGUAACCCGCAGCGCCGACGGCAGCUCCCCACUCAGAGCCCGGCUCAGAGCGGACGGCAGCAGGCCUGACGGCGGCCUCGUCCUUCCACUGCGGCCCAAGAUGGAGGAGGCGGGCCUCCAGGACGCCGCAAUGGACUGUAGGACUGCGGCGCCGCAGGGCCGGGGCCUCUUCCACGAGAGCGUCCACGGACGGCUGUGGCAGGCGGGCUUCUACCCCACGGAGACCGCCGCCGCCGUGGACAGCAGCUCAGGGACGGACAGCGACAGCGGCUCUGAUGUCAUCUUCCUGCUGUCAGCGUCCAAGGACUCGGCGGCGUGCAGCUCCGUCAGCGGGGGGAGCGUCAGCCUGGCGGAGGG